GGCGCCUUACCUUUUCACAGCAAUCCUCUGCUAUGUGCUUCUCAAAUCAACGUGUGGAGCAAAUCACUCACUUCUCCACAACCAAAAGAUUGGUAUUGGGGAGACUUUGGUUUCCGAAAGCCAAGUCUUUGAACUCGGAUUUUUCCAACCUGGAAAGUCAAAGAAUGUAUUUGUAGGAAUUUGGUAUAAAUUCACACCUGAAGUGGUUGUCUGGGUUGCUAACAGAAACCACCCCAUCACUCACUCACAUGGAGUUAACUUUGGCAUCUCUCUAAAUGGAAGUCUUUGUAUUAGCAGAAGAGAUGGAGCUGUUAUCUGGUCAACGAAUCCACCAACGGCAGCGUCCUUGAUACCGGAAACCUGGUUGUCUCGACGGAGGAAGGCCACUGCUUAUGGCAAAGCUUCAAUUUCCCAACUGACACGGGGCUACCAGGUAUGAAGCUUAAUCUCAUCACGAAUUUGACAUCGUGGAGAGAUUGAGACGAUCCUUCGCCCGGAGUUUUCGUGAUGAAGAUAGACAACCACGGCUUGCCUGAGAUACUCAUUUUGGAAGGCACAAGGAAAAGAUUUCGAUGUGGAAAGUGGAAUGGCCUCUAUUUCAACGGGAUCCCUCGCUUCUAUGGUGCUUUCCCAAGUGCUGAAUACAUUUUCGAACAAGGGAGGCUGGUGUCUAUGUGGAGGCCUUAUCACAGCUCCGUGAUCAUGAGAACCUCAAUAGACGCCUUUGGCGCCAUCCAACAGUAUAUGAUGAGUCCCAGAAAGGAUAAGUGGAAUCUCAUGUUCACGUUCCCCCGAGACCAGUGCGAUGAGUAUGGGAGCUGCGGCCCCAAUGGAAUCUGCACGGUUGAGAAGGAGCAAAGGUGUGAGUGUUUCGCAGGAUUUGCCCCUAAGUUUCCCAACGAAUAGGAUCUUCAAGAUUGGUGUGGUGGAUGUGCUAGAAUUAGGCCGUUGAAUUGCGAGAGUGGAGAUGGUUUUGUAGAGGUUAAAGGAGUGAAGCACCAUGAUAUGUUGACAUACUGGUUGAAUACUAGCAUGAGCCUUGAUGACUGCAAAGCCGAGUGCUAAGGAACUGUAAGUGCUCUGCGUGUGCCAAUCCCUACAUAACUAGUGGUGGCAGUGGGUGUUUGAUGUGGUUCGGGGAUCUUCUUGACACCAGAGAGCUUCCUGCUACUCAUAGCAUGCAGAACAUCUAUAUCCGCGUCCCACUUUCACAAUUAGGUUGGUGUAAGAUCCUUUCCUCAUAUUUUGAAGCUAUUUGUAUGAUAUUUCUUGGUAAAUUUUCCUAUACUAAUUAGCUCUAUUUCGGAGGAGGAGAAGAAGGAACCAAUAAGUCUAAUAUCCAUUGCUACUGGGGUCAUGUCUCGAGUUUCAUCAAUGGAAGUAUAGUUUUACUAACAAAAUGGAAAAGGAGAGUAAAUAAGUAUGACGAGGAUUUAGAAAUGCCAUCGAUCAAACUGGCAACUAUUGGGGAAGCAACAAACCCCAACACAAUAUGAUAAGAGUAGGAGGUUUUGGUCCUGUUUAUAAGUCUGUCAACAGGACAAGAAAUCGCAGUUAAGAGACUGUCGAAAUCUUCUGGACAAGGUCUUGAAGAGUUCAAGAACGAGGUCCUCUUGAUCACAAAACUUCAACACAUAAACCUCGUUAAACUCCUUGGUUGUUGCAUUGAACGAGAGGAAAUGGUGAUAAUAUAUGAAUACGUACAAAAUAAGAGCUUGGAUACUUUUGUUCUUGGUGCUGGCCUAAUAUCUCACUCAUCCUUUUGUUUGUUUGUAUCUAAUAAAUAUGUUGAUAAAGUAUUGGAUCAUGUGCAGGUCAUGAUAGAAGGACAAUUCUGACGUGGCCUACACAUUAUCAUGGGAAUCGCAAAGGGACUGCUUUAUCUCCACCAUAAUUCCAAGUUUAAGAUUAUCCAUCGGGAUCUAAAAACAAGUAACAUAUUACUAGAUGCAAGUCUUAAUCCGAAAAUAUCAGACUUUGGCUUAGCAAGAACUUUUGAAGAGGAUCAGUCUCUAUCUAGAACUAAGAGAGUUGGUGGAACAUAGUGAACUUUCUUGUAUCCCAUCAAACUAGACUGCUAUUUUUCAUGAUGGCCUAAUUAAUGAGUAGUAGUAUUAUUUUUAUGCAGCGGCUAUAUGGCUCCGGAAUAUGCAUUUCAUGGCAAGUUCUCAGUGAAGUCUGAUGUCUAUAGUUUUGGAGUAGUGGUGCUAGAGAUAAUAAGUGAGAAAAGGAACAGAGAAUUUGAGCACAAUGACCAUUGUCAUAGCCUCCUAGGCAAUGUACACCUCCUAUAUUUGUUGUAUGAAAAAAAGUGAGAAAUAUGUGAUUGUUACAGGCAUGGUUGCUAUUGAAAGAGAAAAGGAUAAUGGAAGUGAUGGACAAAUGUUUGAAGGAAACAUGCGAUGAGUCCCAAGUGAAGAGAUGCAUAAAUUUGAAAUGGAACUCCUGCAGUAUUAU